AACCAUAUCAAGUUGAUGCACCAGUUCCCAUACGAUCACCGAAGUUAAGCAACGCCCAGCCUGAUCAGUACCUUGAUGGGUGACCGCUUAGGAAUACCAGGUACUGUAAG